rnacentral:rRNA from 1 species
CAUGCAAGUCGAACGGAAAGGCCCUUCGGGGUACUCGAGUGGCGAACGGGUGAGUAACACGUGGGUGAUCUGCCCUGCACUUUGGGAUAAGCCUGGGAAACUGGGUCUAAUACCGAAUAGGACCAUGGCCUUCAUGGGUUGUGGUGGAAAGCUUUUGCGGUGUGGGAUGGGCCCGCGGCCUAUCAGCUUGUUGGUGGGGUAAUGGCCUACCAAGGCGACGACGGGUAGCCGGCCUGAGAGGGUGUCCGGCCACACUGGGACUGAGAUACGGCCCAGACUCCUACGGGAGGCAGCAGUGGGGAAUAUUGCACAAUGGGCGCAAGCCUGAUGCAGCGACGCCGCGUGAGGGAUGACGGCCUUCGGGUUGUAAACCUCUUUCAGUAGGGACGAAGCGUAAGUGACGGUACCUAUAGAAGAAGCACCGGCCAACUACGUGCCAGCAGCCGCGGUAAUACGUAGGGUGCGAGCGUUGUCCGGAAUUACUGGGCGUAAAGAGCUCGUAGGUGGUUUGUCGCGUUGUUCGUGAAAACUCACA